UUCAACUUUCGAUGGUAGGAUAGAGGCCUACCAUGGUGGCAACGGGUAACGGGGUGUUAGGGCACGACACCGGAGAGGGAGCCUGAGAAACGGCUACCACAUCCAAGGAUGGCAGCAGGCGCGCAAAUUACCCAAUCCCGACACGGGGAGGUAGUGACAAUAAAUAACAAUACGGGGUCCUUUCGGGUUUCGUAAUUGGAAUGAGUACAAUUUAAAUCUCUUAACGAGGAACAAUUGGAGGGCAAGUCUGGUGCCAGCAGCCGCGGUAAUUCCAGCUCCAAUAGCGUAUAUUAAAGUUGUUGCAGUUAAAAAGCUCGUAGUUGAAUUUUGGGAUUAGUGCGCCGGUCGUGCCUUCGGUAUGUACUGGUGUUACUGGUUCCUACCUUCUGACGAACCGUCAUGUCAUUAAUUUGGUGUGGCGGGAAAUCAGGACUGUUACUUUGAAAAAAUUAGAGUGUUUAAAGCAAGCUAACGCUUGAAUACAUUAGCAUGGAAUAAUGAAAUAGGACGUUCGAUCCUAUUUUGUUGGUUUCUAGGAUUGACGUAAUGAUUAAUAGGGAUAGUUGGGGGCAUUAGUAUUCAAUUGUCAGAGGUGAAAUUCUUGGAUUUAUUGAAGACUAACUACUGCGAAAGCAUUUGCCAAGGAUGUUUUCAUUAAUCAAGAACGAAAGUUAGGGGAUCGAAGACGAUCAGAUACCGUCGUAGUCUUAACCAUAAACUAUGCCGACUAGGGAUCGGAUGAUGUUAAUUUUUUAAUGACUCAUUCGGCGCCUUACGGGAAACCAAAGUGUUUGGGUUC
rnacentral:rRNA from 1 species